AGCAGCCGCGGUAAUUCCAGCUUCAAUAGCGUAUAUUAAAGUUGCUGCAGUUAAAAGCUCGUAGUUGAAUUUCGGGACCAUCAUGUCGGUCGUGCCUCGGUACGUACUGGCAUUGUUAGUUUCUACCUUCUGACGAACCAUGAUGUCAUUUAUUUGGUGUCGUGGGGAAUCAGGACUGUUACUUUGAAAAAUUAGAGUGUUUAAAGCAGGCUCACGCCUGAAUACAUUAGCAUGGAAUAAUGAAAUAGGACGUUCGAUCCUAUUUUGUUGGUUUCUAGGAUUGACGUAAUGAUUAAUAGGGAUAGUUGGGGGCAUUAGUAUUCAAUUGUCAGAGGUGAAAUUCUUGGAUUUAUUGAAGACUAACUUCUGCGAAAGCAUUUGCCAAGGAUGUUUUCAUUAAUCAAGAACGAAAGUUAGGGGAUCGAAGACGAUCAGAUACCGUCGUAGUCUUAACCAUAAACUAUGCCGACUAGGAAUCGGGCGAUGUUAUUCUCAUGACUCGCCCGGCGCCUUAUGGGAAACCAAAGUGUUUGGGUU
rnacentral:rRNA from 1 species